UUUGUUUGUUUGUUUUUU
rnacentral:sRNA from 1 species